GCCAAAGAGUUUACCCCUGGGGCAAUUAAAGGACUUCGCUCAGGGUUUACUGCCCCUCCCUGCCAUAUAUACCAGACUGCGGCUCCAAUUCUCAACAUUAGUUUCUCGACACAGGCUACUGAGGUGGCUAAUGACACUCUGAUGUUGAAGAAUCUGGGACUGGAAACUAUUUUAGCUGCUCUGGCUCCGUUUGCCACUCUGUCCCCCACCAAUGUGCGGCUCAUCAAAGACAAACAGACGCAGCUCAAUCGAGGGUUUGCUUUCCUGCAGCUCACUACUAUUGUUGGAUGUUUUUCUGACAGAUGGGAGUCGGGUGAGUGUGGCGACAGUAGCAAGCACGGCUAUAGCAGAGGCUCAGUGGGCCGUUACUCAG